AAGUACGCACUAUGCCUUAUAAAUCCUUAGGAAUAACCAAAUUUGGAAGAAGCAUGAUGGAAUUGAGAAGCACCUAAAACAAAGGUAAAAACUGAACCUAUAAACCUGCCUUCAUAUACCUCCCUGCUUGUCUCAUAAGCCAAACGGGAGGCCUUUCUACUUCUUUACCCCGUAUAGCAUCCAGCAACAAAGGUUCAGUUGCAUUUAUAGCUUUUGGUUCCGCAACAGUUCCUGCAAGUUAAAAUCAAUAUGAAAAUUCAACCAACUUAAGAAGUUGAAGGUACAAUUGCAUAGAAACUGGGGGAAUAAAUAGCUCUAACUCUAUUCGGUCAGGGGAUGUAUAUGGAAAUUUCAGAUAAAAGGUAGAUGCAAAUUGAAAUUGAAAAAUACUUAAAUUGGGGUCCUUGAGGCUUGCUUAAUUGACCAAAAUAAAGUUUUAAGACGGCAUAAUUGUGAAUGUGAAGACAUACUAAUAGCAUAACAAAGAGUGGAUCUUAGCCGAAAAAAACUGAGCAGCAUCCAGCAACAAAGGUUCUGUUGCAUUUAUAGCUUUUGGUUCCGCAACAGUUCCUGGAAGUUAAAAUCAAUAUGAGAAUUCAACCAACUUAAGAAGCUGAAGGUAUAAUUGCAUGGGAAUAAAUAGCUAAAACUCUCAUUGGUCUGGGGGUGUAUAUGGAAAUUUCAGAUAAAAGCUAACAGUCUAAUAGAUGCAAUUUUACAUACUAGAAUUGAAAUUACUAUUUUAAUGAAGAAUAAAUUGGGGUCCUUGAGGCUUGCUUAAUUGUCCAAAAUCAAGUUUUAAGACGGCAGCCACUGCAUAAUUGUGAAUGUGAAGAAAUACUAAUAGCAUAAGAAAGGCUGGAUCUUCGCCAAAAAAGGCUGAGUCAGUAAUUAAUCAUAAUAAACUACUCGGAUUAAACAAAAUUGGAAAUGCAGAAAUGGAAUUACUGUAUGGACAAUGUAAAGA
rnacentral:lncRNA from 1 species